GAUGAAGAACGUAGCGAAAUGCGAUAAGUAAUGUGAAUUGCAGAAUUCAGUGAAUCAUCGAAUCUUUGAACGCACAUUGCGCCCGUCAGUAUUCUGGCGGGCAUGCCUGUUCGAGCGUCAUUACGCCCCUCAAGUCCCCUGUGGACUUGGUGUUGGGGAUCGGCGAGGCUGGUUUUCCAGCACAGCCGUCCCUUAAAUUAAUUGGCGGUCUCGCCGUGGCCCUCCUCUGCGCAGUAGUAAAACACUCGCAACAGGAGCCCGGCGCGGUCCACUGCCGUAAAACCCCCCAACUUUUUAUAGUUGACCUCGAAUCAGGUAGGACUACCCGCUGAACUUAAGCAUAUCAAUAAGCGGGGC
rnacentral:misc_RNA from 1 species